UAAGUAAAUGUCUGGGAAACUGCCUGAUGGAGGGGGAUAACUACUGGAAACGGUAGCUAAUACCGCAUAACGUCGCAAGACCAAAGAGGGGGACCUUCGGGCCUCUUGCCAUCAGAUGUGCCCAGAUGGGAUUAGCUAGUAGGUGGGGUAACGGCUCACCUAGGCGACGAUCCCUAGCUGGUCUGAGAGGAUGACCAGCCACACUGGAACUGAGACACGGUCCAGACUCCUACGGGAGGCAGCAGUGGGGAAUAUUGCACAAUGGGCGCAAGCCUGAUGCAGCCAUGCCGCGUGUAUGAAGAAGGCCUUCGGGUUGUAAAGUACUUUCAGCGGGGAGGAAGGCGAUAAGGUUAAUAACCUUGUCGAUUGACGUUACCCGCAGAAGAAGCACCGGCUAACUCCGUGCCAGCAGCCGCGGUAAUACGGAGGGUGCAAGCGUUAAUCGGAAUUACUGGGCGUAAAGCGCACGCAGGCGGUCUGUCAAGUCGGAUGUGAAAUCUGCCGGG
rnacentral:rRNA from 1 species